GCCCUCUAAAUCAACCUCCUUGCAAUCUUCUAUUGUUAAUCUUUUGAGGCUGGUGAGAUGUUGCAGGCAUUCAUCUAGCGUGUGAGUGUCCAACCCCUCAAUCUUGUGUACAUCGAAAGAUUUCAAUUUGGAGAGUGGAAGAGAAGAGGUUGAAGUUAAUGGGGCCUUAGCAUUGAUGUUCAUCUUGAUAGUCUGCUUUAACGGCCUUGAACUGGUAUUCGACAACAUUAGAUCUUCAUCGAGUGAUGGAUACAGCGGCAUUGAUGUCAAAGGGCAAUUUUCAAUUGUUAAAGAGGAAAGACAAGGAAAUCCCAUGGUUGAUGUUCCCAUAACUGUUGUGUCGUCCUCGUUGGAAUCAUCAUCGAUUGGUUUUGUCGUCCUCCACCAACUCAUCAUAUUCGGACAGUACCGGAGCGAAAGAUGCUUAAGUGAUGGGAAGAAUGAUUGUGGUUCUCCUUGACUUCCUUUUGGGCUAUUAUCAUCCAUGUACUCCAGCUCAGUUAAAUUAGAAAUCACCAGCCCUUUAAGACAAGGAAAUUGCACAAAGGACGGGAUUUGUUUGAAAUUACCCUGAUGUAUUGUCAUAUAAACGAGAUUUGUUAGAAAAGAAAGCCAACUUGGAAACUUGGCAUCACUCCUCCAUCCUCGAAUACAGAGCUCCUUGAGAUUAGGAUGGGGUUGGAGGUCUUCAAGUGAUUUAUCAUCAUCAUAUUCAUCAUCGUUAAAAUCAAAAUAAAAUUUCCAUUCUAAAAGCAACGAUCUCAAAUGUUGCUUCUCUUUCAAAUUAGCAGCCUUAAACUUCUCUUUUGCAUUUUUUACGAAUCCCAAAUUUCUUAUUUCUAGCUCUCCCCUUAAAUUGUUAAGCAGUCUCAAUUCACUUAGAUCUGCACCGCCAUGGGACCCAUCUUUAUCCACUACAAACAUGCUUAACGUCUCAAGUGAAGUCAGCUUCCCUAUUCCACGUGGCAUAUGAGUUAAACUCAAACAGCCUUCACACCCAAUAUGGGUAAGAUUCACCAAUUUUUCAAUCUUCUUUGGCAAUUCUUGAAGCCCAUCACACCAGUCAAGUUUCAGCGCUAGCAAAUUCUGAAUCUUGCAAAUACUCUUUGGGAGAAUCUUAAUAUUGAAAUUCCAAGAAAGAUCAAGGUACCUCAAAUGUUUCAACUUACAAAUGGAGGGUGAAAUCUUUCGAAUACCCAUAGAAUCCAAUUUCAAUACACGCAAGCAUCCACAAUUUGCAAUUAUCAAAUCCCAAGUUUCAUCACUCAAUUUUUGAUCGUUGUUGUCUUGAAAAUGUAACAAGGUUCGCAACUUCUUGCCCUUAAACAAAGGAAUUAAUGAAGGAAUUAAUAAAGGAUUAAUUGAUAUGUGGCGACAUUUUUCACCAACAUCACUUGCAAUUUUAUUUGAAUCUACAAUACUACUCUCCAUCCCUGCUACUGAUUCAGCUAGAUCAUGCAUUAAAUCAUGCAUUUUAUAUGUUAGCCCUUCCCAUGGAUAUCUUUCUCCUACUUCUUGGAAGAAACUUCUUUCAACUAAAUCUUUAAAAUACCCAAACCCGAUCUCCUCGAGAGAUUGACUUUGAUUCAAUUGCUUUAUGAAACCCUGUGCAAUCCAUAAUUGAACAAGCGCUUGUACUCUAAUUCUGUAAUCUUUUGGAUACAAUCGGCAAUAAGCAAAGCAAUGCUUCAAAUGAAACGGGAGAUGAUCAUAACUCAAUUUCAGUGUAGGUAGAAUUUCUCCUUCAAUUUGUGAUAUUUUAGCAAGUUCAUUUUCUUUGAAAGAAUGCCACUCAUUUGCAGUUUUCUUCAAAGAUAAUGUACCAGCUAUCGUCCUUAUGGCUAAGGGAACCCCACCACACCUGCCCGAAAUCUGUCUCCCUACUUCCACAAAGGCUGAAUUUGUUGAGUCUGCAUAUCCUUGCUCAAAUGCUAUCCUUUUGAACAAAGACCAAGCAUCAUCAUCAGACAGGCCUUUCAAUUUCAAAACAUGGGAUUGACAUUUAUUAGUUAUCUCCGCUACCCUUAGAGAUCGAGUAGUUACUAUUAUCCUACUCCCUUUAGCCCCACCCAUCAAUAACUUCUUUAGCCUAGACCACCUUUCUGGGUCCUCAUUCCAAAUGUCAUCCAAAACAAGCAAAUAUUUUUUCCCAUCAAUUUUAUCUCGAAGUUGUGUUUGCAAUUGAUCCAUUUCAAGAUUUUGAUCAGGUGCUUGAUUAGUCACAGAUUUGAUAAUGUUUGCUACAAUAACUUUCACAUCAAAAUCAUCUGAAACACACGCAAACAUCGUCAAGUCAAAAUGAUUUUUGACCAUUUCAUGGUUAUAGACAAGUUGGGCCAAAGCAGUCUUCCCUAACCCUCCAAACCCCACAAUUGGAAUGAUAUAAACAUUCUCUUCACUUUGAAACUCCAACACGAGUUUUAGAAGAGCUGCUUUAUCAUCAUCCCUCCCUAUUAUGUCAUCGUCACGCUCAAAAGAGUGCGUUUGCUGCCUCCUUUUAGUCAUGAAAGAGGUUUCCGCGGGGCGAUCACGCGGAAUGAAGCCAAAAGUGUUGGCCUCCCUUUCAAUUGAAGCUAAUCUCGCCUUAAUGGCCUUCAUUUUCCGACCCAUUUUGAGACCAUAAGCAAAUUGGUUUGAGGUUGAGAAGAAAAGGCGUACCUCUUUCGUCAGCUUGUUCCCACCCGAUAGAUCUUUCCGCAAAGCUUCAGUAGAGAAAUCAUCGAGCAAGUCGUCGGCAUCAUAAAGUACAUCUUUCAGCUCUUCAAGCCAAACUUUGACGAGAUUGUCGGUCACCGAUUUCUCUUCUGCGUCAAGAAGCACAGCUUUGACUUGACAGACAGUGCGUUUGAGGUCCUGGAUGUCAUGUUUUAGAUUCCACCACAGCCCAACUUGAGAGAGAGCACGAGAGCUCAACUUAAUAAUGAGCUCUGCGGCAAUAUCGAAAGCAAUUGCUUCGGCCAUUGUUGGUUCAAACUGAAAUCAAGGCAAGAAAUGUUUGAUUAGUGAAAGAGGAGGACUAAAAUGAGAAUGAUUCCAACAAGAUGAAACACAGAUGUGGAUCCAUCCACCCAGCAAGUAGUAUAAUAAAAUAAAAAGUAAUGUUGAUUGGUGGGAAAUGCUCCCUCCAUGUUAAAGUCAUGUUGAUUGGUGGGAAAUUGUCAAACUUCUCAAUGGAGACAAAGUUGGGAUGAUGACACUUGGGGCGGUCUGCACAAUGUGGAGCCUUACAAAUAAUUGAAAUUAAUGAAAAAGCUAUGAAAGAAAAGAGAAAAAGAUUGAGGCCCAAAAGUCACUACCUCAUUUUAAGUUGCAUCAUAAAUUAUAAUGUUAUAAAUAUCGCUAGAAUAAUCUAUCUCAAAAGACAAAUUAUAACAUUUAGAUAGAACCCAAUUAUAAAGAGAAUCGGCUAAUUUAUUACAACCACGUUUCACCCAUUUGACCUCAGCAGAAACAAAAGAAUCAAGCAUCUUGUGAGCUCUUUGAUGCAAUGAUCAAAGAUUAUAGUGUCCUCCUUGUGAAACUAAAGCAGUUGACAAAGCUAGCACAAUCUGUUUCAAAAAUGACAUUUUCGGCUUUAAGAAAUUGAGCAAGCCAAAAACCAUCGAUGAGGGCAUCUAAUUCUGCUUUAAUAGUGAUUUUUUAUUCUCAUUUUAUCGAUAUAUUUACAUUUGAAUUCAAAUACAUAUUCUACAAUUAACUUUAAUCUCACUAUUACAAUACUUAACCUCACUAAAUUAUUUGUUUAACAUGAUUAUGGUGAAUUUAUAGAAAGAACAAUUACGAAACAAAUGCAGAUGCACUUAUGUUUAAAGUGUUAUUAAUGGAAAUUUUAUUAUUUUGAAAAAUAAAAGUAUAACAACUUUUUUAGCAUUCCAAUUUUAUAAAAGAAUAAUUUUAGCUCUCUUUUUAUUUUCCUUCUCUUUUAGUCUUUGAACUUACAUUUUUUUGUCAAACCAUCCAAAAUGAGUGAAAAAGUUAACAUUUGUUAACUUUGUUGACAUGACAUAUAGGUGGAUUACCACUUGUAUGUCACGUUAGUAAUUAAUUAUUUUAAAAAAUAUAUUUAAAAAAUAUUUUCUUAUAAUUUUUUAAUUUUUAAAAUAUUUUUUAAAAUUUUUUAAAAUUUUAAAAAAUAAUUAAUUGCUUAUGUGGCAUAUACAUGGUAAUCCACGUAUAUGUUACAUUAGCAAAAUCAACAAGCAUUAAAUUUUCACUCAUUCUAGGGUGAUUUGACAAAAAUUACAAGUUUAAGAACUAAAAGAAAGAAAAAAUUAAAUGAAGAGUUGAAAUAACUUUUUCUAUAAAGUUGGAGACCAAAAGAAUCAUUAUGGCAAAAAAUAGUUGUUUUUCUUCUUUCUUUCUUUUUUUUUGGCAAUUUUUAGUGCUAAAAUUCAAGAUGGUGUGGAAUAGUUUCUAAUCUUAUUAUUGUUAUAUAUAUUUUCGAUCUCAUUGGAGUUAAUUUCAUUGUCAAUAUAAAGAGAGCUUAAAUAUAAUUUAUUCCACUUCUAUUAAACAUGUUAGCGCUCCUUUGUAUGAUCAUUUACCUCCCGUGAGUAGGGUCGAGUAAAAAAAAUAAAAUAAAAUAAUUGAAAAUCAAUCCAAAUCAAUGAAUUUAGACGGUUUAUGGAUACAAAUUAAAAAUUUACAAUUAUUCGAAACCGAACCAAAUUCAUUAUUAUCACAUUACUACGGUAUUCAAUCUCGCUAUAUCAACAACUAAUCUCACCACCAACGUUAUUUUUAAUUUCACUAGAAUUCAUCCAAUUAUACAUCCAAAGAAAACCAUAAACUUAUCUAAAUACAAAUAAAACUAUAAAAAACUUAUUUAGACAUAAACUUUAUUAUUUGACACAAUAAAAAUAUAAUUACUUGCUUGAUUUAUACAUUUGUCCAAUAGUAAUGUAACCCAUUCAAUUUGGUCAGAUUGAAGGUUAUUCUUUGAUAAAUUAUUAUUAUUAUUAUUAUUUGCUUUGGGCAAACUUAAUACAACUUGAUUUACUCUUUAUUAAUUAAAAGCAUUUUAUUUAUAUUUAAUUAUAAAAAUGUGUAAAUAUUAUUAAAAUAUUAUUUUUUAAUAUUAAAUGAAUAGUGAAAUAGGGUCAACUUAUAAGGGUUAAAGUGUUUAGGAAGUCCCUAUAUUAUAGACUGUAUCAAAUUAGUCUCUCGAUUAUUAAACAAAUCAAAUUUAUUCUUGUAUUAUUAAAAAAGAAUCAAAUUAUGUCAAAUUGUAACAAAAUUAGCAUUUACUGUAAUAAUUUUAACAUUAACAAAGUUAACAAUUUGCAAUAUAAUUUUUAUGCAAUAAAUGUUAACUUUGUUGUAAUUUGGUUUUAUUUGAUCCUUUUUUAAAAGUACAGAGACUAAAUUGACCAUUUAAUAAUAGAGAGACUAAUUUGAUGUAGUUCCUAGAAUAGAGGUACUUUCACCCUUAUAUAUGUAUUUGAAUCUUAUUUUGGAUGAAAUUGAACAAUUGAAAAAGAUAAGAGUUCAAAAAGGUAAAAAUAAAUUGUAAUUAUAUACAAAAUACUUCCCUCCACAUUUAUCCGAACAAAAGAUUCCCUCCCUUUUCCCUCGUUUUCUACUCUCUCUCUAACGUCUAAACUAAAACCCUCACUUUCUUUCUCUUCCUAUUCCCCCAAUUCCAAUUAUACCCCCACCUCCUUCCCCUAGAAAUCAUAAACCUCCAUGUCCGGAGGGGCUGGAGCCUCCGAUGGUCCCACGCUGCCGUAUCAACCUCCUCCCACGGCUUCAACUGCACCAGCUUCGACGGUUCCUUCGGUUGUUCCGCCGAUACGUCGUCACCUGGCCUUCGCUUCGACGAAGCCGCCGUUUGUUCAUCCCGAUGAUUAUCACAGAUUUUCAUCUAGUAAUAGUCGUGGAAUCGUCGCCGAUCAAGAAGUUGAAGCAAUUGUUGUGAGAUUUCUAGUGAGUUCAAAAAUUUAAUGUAAGAAAAGGCGUACCUCUUUCGUCAGCUUGUUCCCACCCGAUAGAUCUUUUCGCAAAGCUUCACUGGAGAAAUCAUCGAGCAAGUCAUCGGCAUCAUAAAGUACAUCUUUCAGCACUUCAAGCCAAACUUUGACGAGAUUGUCGGUCGUCGAGGUCAUGUUGGAGAUUCCACCACAGUCCAACUUGAGAGAGCGCACGAGAGCUCAACUUAGUAAUAAGCUCUAGGGCGAGGUCGAAAGCAAUUGCUUCGGCCAUUGCUGGUUCAAACAGAAAUCAGGCAAAGAAGCGUUUCGUUAUUGCAAGAGGAGUAAAAUAAGAAUGAUUAAACAUUGGCAAUUGAUUAUUUUUUUAAAAAAAAUUAAAAUAAUUUUUAAUAAUUUUUGUACUUUUUAAAAUUUUUAAUAAGUUGUAUACCAUAUUUGUAUCCUCAACGUUUGGUAACUGAAGGGAGCUAUGCUAAACAUUCAACCAAUCAUUAGGUACUGAAAUGUUUUCAUUAAAUGAUAGUCUUACAUAAUGUACACAAGAUUGCUUGAUAAUUAGUUGUGUUUCCAUGUGUUUGAUUAUUAUUUGAAACUCCGGAAGAGAAAAAUGUAUUUUUUUUCUAAGUUGACACACACAAAAAUAAAAAUAAAGGAGAAUAAAGAACAUAACCAAGAUGUUUACGCAGUUCAAAACUCAUCCUACAUUUGUGAGCUUUGUCUAGAGAUAAAAUCGCUAUAAACUUCACAGUACAAUGAAAUUAUUUAUGCCCAACCCUCCAAACAUGGUGCAACCUCACCUUUGUACAAUUAAGUAAACGCUCUUCCAACUUACAUUAGCUAUGCAAGAGAAAAUCGACACUCGUAAGGUGGCACUCAAAUAAUAGUUACUCACUAAGUGUUCCUUUAAGUCCACAAAUCAUCUAUAUAUACACACUCCAAGAUCAGCUGAUGUAGAAUGCAUACAGAUUGAGUCUUCAACAAAGAAAAAAAGAAAAAGAAAGAACAAAUGUGCAUAGAGAGGAGGAUUUCAUGGGAGCACAAUGCCAUGGACAGAUCAGCUGAUGAAGAAUGCAUGUCCUGCUUUUUGGCUCUUCCAUUGAACUCAUGCUGAAAAAGAAGCAGCUUAGUUACGAGGUUAUAUUAGAUCAUUUGAAAUUAUGAGAUUAUUAUGAUUUUAAAAAUGUAAAGCAAUUAAGUAAUUACCACCCAUUUGUCUGCAUCUAAAUUCUUAAAGUUGUCAAAUGCCUUUCAGAAAAAUACAUGCCAAUCGAAUAUGUGGGCAGAUAAACAAAUGAGGGUAGAAAGUAUGAUCUCUGCUUUUUGUAUUGCAUGCUAUGCUCUGCCGAAGGAUAGAGCCAAAAGCUAACAAAAAUGAAGGGUAAAAAAAAUAAAAAAUUCCAAGAUAAAACAUAAAAUUGUAUAUACAUAUGAUUAAGAUUUAAAUUUGGAAAAUGAAUAAAGCAGAGCAUGAAGUAGAAGCAUAUUGAAGGCUGGCAUGCAAGCAUUUUGGAAAAUGUCCAUUGGGUACCAAUAAAGAUUUUUUAGAAUUAAAGUAUUAGAAGGUAUGAAAUGAUAGAUAUGAACCACCAAAAUGCUUCACACUAAAUCUAAAUUAUUCAAUUUUGUUUUAUUGAAUCAAAUAGAAAAUAAAUGAGGGGUAUGAAUUACCUGUCAUUCCUUGUUGGUAUUUGGUAUAAGCUGCAAUUUCAAAUGUGUAUACACAUAUGGAUUUCAUCAGAUCAUUGGGAUGGUGAGAUUAAUAUAAUUUAAAAGCGUAAAGCAAUUAGCUAGAUUACCACUUUUUUUACUGCAUUUGAAUUCUUGAAAUUGCCAAAUUCGUUUCACUAAAAGUCUUCGAUGCUUACUGCACAAAAUAGCCAAAUAAAAUGAUAAAUGAAGAAAUUGCACCAAAAGCUUGUUCUAUUUUGGCAAAAGAGGCCGUAGUUGGAGAGUCAAUAUACCAACCUGUAGCGAUAUGAGCAAUCUUGUGCCAAUCGGCAUCAAUCCCCUUCCGACAUCUUUCCUCCAUCUGAGGAAUUCGUUUCAUAAAGAACUCUUCCAAACUGGUUCUCGUCCGGAAGCGAUGUUAAAUUAGGCAAAUCGGAGAGAAUAAGCCUUGGAAGAUGGCGACACUUUGGAAUCUUUGCCAGCGCUAGAGAGCGCAGGCUUGUAUGAUCUUGGAAUAUUUGGAAGUUAGGUGCAGAUAACUCCAGCUCCUUUCAGUUACUUAUUGAAAACUCUUCAAGGAAAGAGAGAUGUUGGAACACAGGAAAGAGUGACGUCAAUCCAUGGCAUUCAUGAAUUCCCAAUGUUUUCAAUCGAAAAAGAUGUUGAAGCCCAAGGAGGACAGACACCAGCUUUGGAAUAUUACCAAUCACCAACCAAGAGGUUCCCAUUGCAUGCCUUCUAAAUCAACCUCCUUGCAAUCUCCUAUUGUCAAUUUUUUGAGGCCGGUGAAAACAGAUUAAUGGAAACCAUUAGUUUUCAAAGGUGAAUAAAUAAGGACAAUUAAGAUUGGUGUGAACAAUUUUUACUAAUAUAUGACACAUGUCUAACUAUGAUUAGUUAAAUUUGAAAACAUUUUAAAGAAAUUAAUAUAUAUAAUAUAAAAAAUCUAUAAAAAUUUUCAAAAUUCAAUUAUUGUAAUAUGAAACUUCCAUAUCUAAAAACCCUAAAUUAAAUUAAACUAUUUCAAUUGAAUCGAACAAACCCUAAAUUAAAUUAAAUUAUUUCAAUUGAAUCGAACAAACAAAUUGGACCGAAAAUCAAUUAAUAUGAUUGGUUUGACCACCUAUCUAGUUUUGAAAACCUUGACCAGAACAACAUCAGUAUGUGAAUUUUAUUUUUUUUAAUGAAGUGAUAUUAUUGUGUGUAUAAUAUAAUUAUAUGAUACAUCAAAUAUAAAAAUCCAUUAAUUUAAUAUCUUAAAAGUGUGCAUUUUGUUUAAUCUAAUGUGUUAAAAAGAAGAAGAAGAAGAAGAAAUAAUCCUCUUAAAUUUUAUAAUCUCGUCGUGUUUUUAAUAUUUUAGAAUCAAGUUAAUAUGAUGAGUAUACAAGUAUUUACAAUUUAAUCCAUGUCAAAUGAGAACGGAAAUUUAAAACCUAAAUUGACAGCUACAAAAAUAAAAUGAUUUUAUUGAUAUAAUAUUAAUACUUUCAAAACUUAAUUAAAAUAUUUUAGAAUUUAUAAAUUAAUUUUAAAAAAUUAAUUAAUAAAUUGAGGAUAUUUAAUACAAAUAACUUCUUGUAUGAAUAUAAAUAAUUAUAACACAUUUAUUAUUAAAUGAAAAUAAUGUUUGGUUGGUUGGAAAUGGUCCCACCUUGUUUUACGUUUGGGGAACAAAGCGACGGCGUUUUGGUUGGAGAAGAAGGAAGUAACAUCGUUAAGUACAUCGUUUUGUUUAUCUUUGUUUGAAAUUUGUUUUCUCGUUUUCUAUUUGACGCGGUUAAUAUUCUUUUUUGGGUAAACUAUAUUAAAAGUCAUUCAACUUUUACCUAAUUAUGAAAAGUUACAAAAUAAUCAAUAAACUAUUUUUUUUCCUUUUUUUUCACCCAAUUAUCUUGGAUUUUUUGGUGUUUUCUAUUUUUUCAUUAGCCAACUGAUGAUAAAAAUGAUAAAAUUGAAUUGUUGGGAGACUAUUUUGUAACUUUUCAUAAUUGACUGACCGAAAAAGGAAAAAAAACUUAGUUGGAUGACUACUAAAGUAGGGUACCCUUUUUUAGGUUAAAAUAUGCGAUAUGUCCUUGUACUCACCAUAAAUUUGAAAUUUAGUCUCUAUACUUGUAUUUAUAGGAAUUUAAUUUUUUUACUUUUCAGAGUUCAAAUUUCAGGUCCAAUUGUUAAUACUGUUAAUUUUUUUUUGUUGGAUUUGUUAGUGUGACAGUUUGAUUUAAAAAAAAUUUACUUACUUGGUAGCCAUGUAACUAAGAAUAUGACAUUUUAAAGAACCUGAAUUUAAUAAAAUAAUUUUAACAGUGUUAAUAGUUGGACUUGAAUUUUAAAAUUUUAAAAAUAUAGGGACUAAAUUCUUAAAAAUAAAAAUAUACAAAUUAAAUUCUAAACUUACAAAAAAAAUAUAGGGUUUGGGGGAUUUUAAUUUUGUAACGAUCUAAAAAGUGCAAGUAUUGGAAAGUGAAUUAUCAAGUCUCCGUUUUGGUAAAACGGACUCGUAAAAUAAUUAUUAAAAAUAUUUAUAGAAUUAGUUAUAAGACCAAUUGGAUUUUAGUUAAGUGAAUUUAGUUGAAUUAAAGUUAAUUAUGUAUUAGGACUAAAUUGAAUUAAGUGUGAAAGUUAAUUAUAGAAAAGAGAAAGGUCAAAGGACUAAACUAAUAAUUAAACAAUAAAAAGUGACAAGUGUGUGGUAAUUAUAAAUACAUGUGUAAAAAGAUAAAUAUAUACAAUUGUAAUAUUUAUAUUGUAUAUUAAAUAGAUAUUUAUUAGAUAAAUAAUUAAAUUAUAAGAUAUUUAUGUGAUUAAUAAAUUAAUUUGUGACAAGUGUAGGGUAUAGAUUAAGUACAAGUGUAAAAAAAAAUGUAUACAUUUGUAAUAUAUGUAUUAGUUAUUAAUUAGAUAUUUAUUGUAAUUAUAUUAUUAUUAUAAUAUAAAGUAAAGAAAUAAAAGAAACAAGGAAAUAAAGAAAGAAAAAGAACAGAGAAGUAGAACGAAACAGAGAAAGGAAAGAGGGAAAAAGAAAGAAAGAAAAAGAAAAAGGAAAAUUUGGGUUGUCAAGGUUCAAAGUUAAUUUGGUAAGUCAAUUUAAUCCUUUUUCUCUUAGUUUUGAUGUUUUUGGAAUCCUAGAACAAAGUAUUAUUGGAUUUAUGUCAAAAUUUUGGAAGUUAUUAGAUUUCUGGACAUUGAUUAUGUUGAAUAAAUGAAUGAAUUAGGGGUUAAAUUAAUUUAAUUUCAAGUUAGAAGUUAGUAAAGAAUUUAAUUGUAAAAUAAAGUUUAAGUUUUGAUUAGUAGGGACUAAAUUGAAAGAAUCCCGAAAUUAGGGACUUAUGGUGAAAUUGAAGGGUUAAAAUGAGUUUAUAGUAAGAAUUGAGAAAGAAUAAGGAGUUAGAUUGAGAAAAUAAAAUUAGUAUUGAUAAGGGAUUAAAUUAGAAUUUAGGUAAAGUUUAGGUAUAAAUAGAAAUAUUUUGAUGAAUUUGUGUAUUAAUGAUUUUUAAUUGUUUAAUUACGUAGCUAAUGUCGUGCAAGAGUUAUUAACCAAGAAAGGAAAGGAGAAGGUGGACAAGGAGUGACUCGAGAGAAAUUUCGGUUAGUAUUACUAUAAUUCAAAUUUAAUUAUUAAUUGUUAAAAUUUAAAUUAAUAUACAUGAUAAGCAAAUUGAGGUAAGUAUCAUGAUUGAAUUGAAUUGAGGUAAGUAUCACUUGAUUUUAUUGCACCAAACUGGACAUAAAAGAUUUUCUUAAAAAAUUUAACUUGCAAUGAGAUUGUUUUUUCUCACUAUAACCUUAUAGAGGUGUUAUAUAAGUACAUAUCAUAUCAUAAUUAUAAAUUUAAUUAUUUAAUUGUUAUAAAAAUUAAAUAUAUUACAAAUUAAUAUUUAUAUAAUGAUAUAGUUGAAUACAUGUAAAUUUAUUAUCAUAAAUAUAUUUGUAAUUAUUAUUUAUAUAAAUAAUUUUAUUAUAUUUUAUUAUUUCAUUUAUAUAAAGUAUAGAAUUUUGAGUUUAUAAUAAUUUCAAAGAAAAAAUAUAAUUUUCAUAAUCAAAUUUUAUAUGAAUUAAAUCUAAAUAAGUAGAUAUGUCAUAAUAAAUAAAAAAAUUAAUAAAAAUAUAUUUAUUAAUAAUUUUAUUAUUUACCAUGUUUGCAAAUUUCGUAUAUGUUAUAUUAUUUAUGUUAAAUAUAAAUAAUUUAACAUCCGUAAUAAUCAAUUAAGGUGAAAACACCUUUCUGGUCCCUUACAAUUUUGAUCUCAAGCAAAUUGGUCCUUCUAAAAAAUUUAGAGCAAUUUUAUCAUUGUUAAUUUCGAAAUAUAGUAGCUAAGGAUAAUUAAUCACAACGUUAAUAUUUUUGUCAUCUGUACAUAUUUUUAUUGGUAUAAUAACAACUUUAGCCCUAAAAAUUUACACAUUCUGCCAAUUUAGUUCUAGUUUAACAAAAUCAAAUUGCAACAUUUACACAUUAUAUAAUUAAUCAAAUUGAUAGGGAUUAAAUUGCUCCAUUUUUUUAGAAGGGCCAAUUUGCAAAAUAUUGAAUUAAAGAGGGAUCGAAGAGGUGUUUUUAUCCAUUUUCAACCUCACCUCACUACUACAAUUGUUAUUGAAUCCAAAUAUAUAUCCAAAACUGGUUAUUAUCACAUCACUACGAUAUUCAAUCUAACUAUUCCAAUAACUAAUCUCACCCCAACGUUAUUUUUAAUUUUACUAGAAUUGAUCCAAUUAUACAUCCAAAGAAAACCAUAAACUUAUCUAAAUACAAAUAAAACUAUAAAAAAAAACUUAUUUAGACAUAAAUUGAAAAAUAAAUUUUAUUAUUUCACACAGUAAAAAUAUAAUUACUUGCUUGAUUUAACCCAUUCAAUUUGGUCAGAUUGAAGGUUAUUCUUUGAUAAGAUAUUAUUAUUAUUAUUUGCUUUGGGCAAACUUAAUACAACUUGAUUUACUCUUUAUUAAUUAAAAACAUUUUAUUUAUAUUUAAUUAUAAAAAUGUGUAAAUAUUAUUAAAACAUUAAUUUUUAAUAUUAAAUGAAUAGUGAAAUAGGGUCAACUUAUAAAGCUUAAAGUAUUUAGGAAGUCCCUAUAUUAUAGACUGUAUCAAAUUAGUCUCUUGAUUAUUAAAUAGAUCAAAUUUAUUCUUGCAUUAUUAAAAAAGAAUAAAAUUAUAUCAAAUUGUAACAGAAUUAACAUUAUCAGAGUUAACAAAUUUUAAUACAUUUUUAUGCAAUAAAUGUUUACUCUAUGGUAAUUUGGUUUUAUUUGAUCAUUUUUAAUAGUAUUGAGACUAAUUUGAUGUAGUCCCUAUACUACAGGUACUUUCACCCUUAUACAUGUAUCUGAAUCUUAUUGUGGAUGAAAUUGAAUAAUUGAAAAAGAUAAGAGUUCAAAAAGAUAAAAAUAAAUUGUAAUUAUGUACAAAAUACUUCCCUCCACAUUUAUCCGAACAAAAGAUUCCCUCCCUUUUCCCUCGUUUUCUACUCUCUCUCUAACGUCUAAACUAAAACCCUCACUUUCUCUCUCUUCCUAUUCCCCCAAUUCCAAUUAUACCCCCACCUCCUUCCCCUAGAAAUCAUAAACCUCCAUGUCCGGCGAUGGUCCCACGCUGCCGUAUCAACCUCCUCCUACGGCUUCCACAGCACCAGCUUCGACGGUUCCUCCGGUUGUUCCGCCGAUACGUCGUCACCUGGCCUUCGCUUCGACGAACCCGCCGUUUGUUCAUCCCGAUGAUUAUCACAGAUUUUCACCUAGUAAAAGUCGUGGAAUCGUCGCCGAUCAAGAAGUUGAAGCAAUUAUUGUGAGAUUUCCAGUGAGUUCAAAAAUUCUCUUUCGAAAAUGGUGGCUAUCAUGUAAUUAGUAGUAUAUUAUUUCAAUUUUGAUGAGAAUUGUACUCUCACUUAACGCUUAAUGUCGUUUGCUUAAUUUUUUUGUGUGAUCUUUUGAUCUGUUCAUAAAUAGAACUUUUCACGGUGGGUAAGUUUCUUAGGGGAUAAAUUAUCAGUAGCAUUAGUUGUUUCUGCAGUGAUAUUGUGAUGUCUGUAUUUUAAUACGUGAUCUAUUCCCGUUUUUUGAUGAUGUAUUUGAUGGUUAAAGUGCUCGUUUGCUGAACUAAGUUGAAAUAUAAUGAAUGCUUGCCUCAUCCAAUGUCCAAAACCUGAUGACUUAAACAUUUUGAUGCCUUAAUUUGAGAAAGCUAAGUUUUAGUACUAUCAAAUAUAAUUGCAAUUGAUAGUAUGUUAGUUUUACGUAAUAUAAAUGUUAUAGUAAGAGAGGAAGGUUAUGUUAUGCUACUCCAUUCUCGGUUUAAAGCCAAACAUUUAAUGCCGUGCUCUAUAUGAAGAAAGCUUGAUGGGUGUUAGUUCUUUUGAUGGAUGUUUGAAAAAUGAUUCAGUUGAUAUACAUAUUUCCCCCUUAUGUAUAAUAUGUCUGAUAGUUUGUCAGGCAAACUUAUGUUCGUAUAUUAUAUUCCUUUUUCAUUCUGUCUUCAAGUAGUGAAGCAUUUCUGAUGGUUCUUAUGACUAACAGUAAGUUUUCUUAUACAAGCUCUCCUACAUAUGCAUCUGUUAAACUUAUGCUCUUUUUUAUUUUAUUUUCUUCAAUUCAAUUGGUUGUUAAUGUAGAUAUAACCAUGCACAGAUACUAAGGGACCUUGUAAUUUUGCCUGCCAUUGGCACUACUUUGAAUUAUUGCUGAUUUUUCUCAGCAAUUAAAAAGGAAAAGCGCAGCAGACAAAAAUGAUGAGUCUAGCCAAUGGACAAAGCAGUCCAGGAGUUACCAGCAUAUCCAACAGUCCCUUCCAGACACCUGUAUCUGCUAAAGGAGGAAGGAUAAAUAAUAGAUCAAAGACCUCAAAAGCCAACAAAUCAAUCGGCACCAAUGUCCUUCCAUCAACUGAGGAACUCUUGCAAAUUAUUGAAGUUCUCAAAUGCCUUUCUCCAAUGGGUUACUGCACAAAUGCCUUUCCAUCAACCUGAUUACAACCAAAUGCGUGGGAUGUGAGCAAUUUUAUGCCAAUCAGCGCCAAUGUCCUUCCAACUGAGGAAUUUGUCGUAUAUGUAAAGAUUUCAAACUGGUCAUCUCAGAAGCGAUCUUAAAUUGGGCAAAUCAGAGAGAUAAAGAAAUUGCAACCCGCUCCGGAAGAUGCCGACACUUUGGAAUUUUUGCCGGUGAUAGAGAGCGUAGGUUACAAUGCCAUGGACAGAUCACAACACUUUCUUUAUAGUUUCAAAAAUUACUCGAGGCAGAAGGCAAUGGGAGCCAGAGCUCUCCAUACCCCUCCCCCUUUCCAAAUUUGGGAAAUUCGAAUUAAGCCUUCAAUUUUUUUGAAAAUUUUAAUUAAACUCCUCAAUUUUUUUAAAAUCUUCACUAAGCCCUUUAAUAGUCUUGUUAGUUUUAAUUAGACCCUUUUUUUUUUGAAAUUCUCAUUAGGUUCUUUAAAAUUUUUGAAAAAUUUAAUUCCACAUUUCGCUACCUUGUUGAAAAUUACAUUUUAAUUACAUUGUUGAAAAUUACUUGUAUUUUGAUAAGGAAAACAAUGGGAAAAAUAACAAUUAGAUGCUUGGAAUAUUGGCUUGUGCCAUGAUAGGCCUUUAUAAGGUGUUAUUCAACUUGUAAUUUGAUGUGUGCCAACAUAAUCAUCAACACACGUGUCAUGUAUAUACAACCAGGACAUCGACAUCUUUUGGAAGCAUCAUAAUUGAAAAAUGUGAAAUACCGUCUAAAACAAUUAUUGUCUCAUAAUCAAUUGUGCAUCCCUGCAUUUGAAUACUGUUUGGAACAUUUAAAAUGUGUUUUUUCCUGAGUUGGUACAUAUUAUGCAACAAGGAAAAUAAAGAACACAAUUAAGAUGUUUACGCAGUUCGGAACUUGUCCUACGUCUACGGGGCUUUGCCCAAAGAUGAAUCCACUAUGAACUUCAUAGUACAAAGAAAUGAUUUAAGCUUAACCCCUCAAACACUUGAUGCAAUCUCACUUUUGUACAAUUAAGUAAAUUCUCUCCCAACUCAUUUUAGCUAUGCAAGUGAAAAUUCACAUUCAACGCUCAGAUGGUUUUCCUACUAUGAAUCAAGCUCUUAAUAAGCUCCAUGUAAGGUGAAAUAAUAAAUUUUCAAAUGCAGUAUGUCUGGCAAUUGUCAUGCUUGAACAACGACUCUUCCAAAAGCAUCAAUGAACCUGAAAAUUAUAAAUGCCAACAUAGAAUAUGUUACAAAUCCCAUUAUUAUCAGCCUUAUAUUUGCACAUAUGUGUGUUUAGUAUAAUGCUGUUGAUAUAUAAGUAAUGAAACAUUUUAUCAACUUCAAUCUCACCACCAAAUAUUCUGAAAUAAAGAUAUGAUAAGUGCGUGCUUAAAUGAAGAAAGCAGAGCAUAUAGUACAACCAAUUUGAAGGCUUCAUAGGCCUCUCUCUCCACAUCAAUGAUUUUUUAGAAUUAAAUUAUUAGAAGCAAUUGUCAAGUUAUUCUUAUGAUUUAAAAGUAAAAAGCAAAUAGAUAAAUUAGCACCUCUUUUUAUGCAUAUAAAAUGAUUGAAGUUCACUAAUGCCUUUCUCCAAUGCCUUUCUGCACAAAUCAGCAAAAAUAUUAUGAAAGAUGAUAAGUAAAAAGUAGGAUGAAAACAAAGGGAUUUUAACAAGGAAAUUAACAGUAUCCAACUUCAACGAAAAAUGGCAUCAGACCCCUGACUUGGAGAUUCAAUAUACCACUCUUAUUUUUCUUCAAAAAAAAUAAGGUCAUCAAAAUAAAUAAAUAACAAAGACAGACCAACCUGUUACUACCAAAUGUGGGGGAUGUGAGCAAUCUUAUGCCAAUCAGCGCCAAUGUCCUUCCGACAUCUUUCCUCCAACUGAGGAAUUCCAUUUAUGUAUAAAAUUUGCAAUUUGGUUAGGCAACGCAUCUCGUCCGGAAGAGACGUUAAAUUGGGCAAAUUAACGAGAUAAAGCCCUUGCAGAUUUGUUAGAUGUUGAAGCCACUUCGGAAGAUGCCGACACUUUGGAAUAUGUUCCAGCCGUAGAGAGCGUAGGCUUGUAUGAUCUUGGAAUAUUUGGAUGCCAGCUCCAGAUAACUCCAGCUUCUUGCAGUCCUUUACUUCGAACUCUUCAAGGAAAGUGAGAUGUUGGAACACAGGAAGCAGUGACCUCAAUCCAUUGCAGUUAUGAAUUUUUAAUGUUUGCAAUUGAACAAGAUGUUGAAGCCAAAUGGAGAGAGACACCAGCUUUGGAAUAUUAUCAAUCUCCAAAUGAGAGAGAUUCUUAAGGGGUUCCCAUUGCAUGCCCUCUAAAUCAACCUCCUUGCAAUCUCCUAUUGUUAAUCUUUUGAGGCUGGUGAGAUGUUGCAGGCACUCAUCUAGCGUGUGAGUGUACAACCCCUCAAUGUUGUGUACAUCGAAAGAUUUCAAUUUGGAGAGUGGAAGAGAAGAGGUUGAAGUUGAUGGGGCCUUAGCAUUGAUGUUCAUCUUGAUAGUCUGCUUUAACGGCCUUGAACUGGUAUUCCUCAACUCUAGCUUAUCAUCGAGUGAUGGAUACAGUGGCAUCAAAGUCAAAGGGCAAUUUUGAAUUGUUAAAGAGG
rnacentral:lncRNA from 1 species